rnacentral:rRNA from 1 species
GACGAACGCUGGCGGCGUGCUUAACACAUGCAGGUCGAACGGAAAGGCCCUGCUUUUGUGGGGUGCUCGAGUGGCGAACGGGUGAGUAACACGUGAGUAACCUGCCCUUGCCUUUGGGAUAACUUCCGGAAACUGGGGCUAAUACCGGAUAGGAGCUCCUGCUGCAUGGUGGGGGUUGGAAAGUUACGGCGGUUGGGGAUGGACUCGCGGCUUAUCAGCUUGUUGGCGGGGUAGUGGCUUACCAAGGCUUUGACGGGUAGCCGGCCUGAGAGGGUGACCGGCCACAUGGGGACUGAGAUACGGCCCAGACUCCUACGGGAGGCAGCAGUGGGGAAGAUUGCACAAUGGGCGGAAGCCGGAUGCAGCAACGCCGCGUGCGGGAUGACGGCCUUCGGGUUGUAAACCGCUUUCGCCUGUGACGAAGCGUGAGUGACGGUAAUGGAUAAAGAAGCACCGGCUAACUACGUG